AUUGAACGCUGGCGGCAGGCCUAACACAUGCAAGUCGAACGAGUGGCGGACGGGUGAGUAAUGUCUGGGAAACUGCCUGAUGGAGGGGGAUAACUACUGGAAACGGUAGCUAAUACCGCAUACCAUCAGAUGUGCCCAGAUGGGAUUAGCUCGUUGGUGGGGUAACGGCUCACCAAGGCGACGAUCCCUAGCUGGUCUGAGAGGAAAACCAGCAACACUGGAACUGAGACACGGUCCAGGCUCAUAGGGGAGGAAGCAGUGGGGAAUAAUGCACAAGGGGCGAAAGCCUGAUGCAGCCAUGCCGCGUGUAUGAAGAAGGCCUUCGGGGUGUAAAGUACUGUCAGCGGGGAGGCGUUACCCGCAGAAGAAGCACCGGCUAACUCCGUGCCAGCAGCCGCGGUAAUAC
rnacentral:rRNA from 1 species